GUAGGGCGCAAGCGUUGUCCGGAUUUAUUGGGCGUAAAGAGCUCGUAGGCGGCCUGUCGCGUCGACUGUGAAAACCCACGGCUUAACCGCGGGACUGCAGUCGAUACGGGCAGGCUAGAGUUCGGUAGGGGAGACUGGAAUUCCUGGUGUAGCGGUGAAAUGCGCAGAUAUCAGGAGGAACACCGGUGGCGAAGGCGGGUCUCUGGGCCGAUACUGACGCUGAGGAGCGAAAGCGUGGGGAGCGAACAGGAUUAGAUACCCUGGUAGUCCACGCUGUAAACGUUGGGCGCUAGGUGUGGGGGGCCUCUCCGGUCCUCUGUGCCGCAGCUAACGCAUUAAGCGCCCCGCCUGGGGAGUACGGCCGCAAGGCUAAA
rnacentral:rRNA from 1 species